UAUUACCUCACCUACCUUCAAAUAAAAAAAAAAUUCCGCAUCCUUUUUUAUUUUGAUUUCUCUGCUAUCAAAUAGAGUCCGCCUCCAUACACAGAAGUUGUAACCAGAACAAAGGGCCCUCAUCCAAUGGCGACCCAACUCUCGCUAACCUUGCUCACCUUUUACACCAUGUUCGCUCUCCUUGCCUGGCCCGGCAUGGCGGGCAACGUCCUCUACUCCGAGUCGGGCGGCAAACUCCUUUCCGGCGAGAGCCUCACCUACAGGCAAUACUCUCUGGUCAUGCAGAAGGACUGCAAUCUAGUGGUCUACGAUGGCAACGAGCCCAUCUGGGCCAGCGGCACCUACGGCAAGGGAAGCAACUGCUUCCUCACCCUGGAGUCCAAUGGUGAGCUAAUCAUCCAUGGUUACCCUCUAUUUAUUCCAGUUAGCUCCCCUAUUUGGACUAGCGGCAGCACCUCGGUCGAUGGGAGCUACGUUCUCGUUCUCGAAUACGAUGGGGGCCUUCGUGUUUAUGGCCCGGUGAUAUGGUCGAUCCCCUCCCAAUCUGCCGAACUGAGGAGCGAUGGAUACGGUUGGCCUGCCGUGAACGACUCCGUGCUGUGGACGGGCGACGUCGCGCCCAUCGGAACCACCAUCGUGAACAGCGUCUACAAGUUGGCCUUGGAGGACAACUGCAACUUGACUUUGUCCGACACCAGCACCAAGAGGGUUCUGUGGUACACAAACACGAGCAACAAUCUGCGUGAUUGCUUCGUGACUCUGGGGGCCACCGGAGAGUUCAGUAUCAAGUACAUGGGAGGAGAGACGCUGUGGAGCAGCGGUGUGCAACCACAGUAUGGGGAAUAUGUCCUUGUGCUUUCACCGGAUGCUGAUCUUGACGUCUAUGGCCCGUCGAUUUGGACCGCGGAGAAGUCCGCGGUGGUGGCAGUGGCGGCGACUGCCGGUGACUCGGUUCCGAGUGGGGAGAAGAUCGUGAUGGUGAGCAAGGAGUGAGGGAGAGGCUCCUCUGGGGGAGAAAUAAUGCAGUCCUGUAUUAAAUAAACUAGGUGUGGUAUCCUUGUGUCGUGUUUCGAGGUUAACUUAUGCUGUGUAAUCCGGUGCUUGUGCUAUCUGCAUGCAUGCAAGGUGUUGUGCCUUUGAUCUUCCUGACAAUCUGAUGACAAAAGUGCGUAGGUACCCGCUAUGUAUGGCAAAGGUGUUACCACCUAUUUCUUACGGAUAUUUGGGCAAUAGUGAGAGGUGGAUGGUUAUGCAGACUAAGUAUGUAUAUUGCGAGGCCAACGGGCAGCAUAUCGGGUAGCAUCUUAUAUGGCUAAUCAUUCUGAAAGAUCCUGUAGCUGGGGAAGAGAAGGUUGUUCGGUGCAUUCUGGGACUUGCUAUCCUUUGAUUUCUUUAGAUGUAUUCAUAUCCACUAUGUUUGAUACAUCCGUUUCAGCAAAAAAAAAAAAGUGCAGGUAAAUCAAGCUUGCAGAAACUGAGGAAAUGAAAUCCGGUAUGAUCUAGUUUAAAAUUCUGGCGUAAAUCCAGUUAGAACUCUUCACUUCUGGAUGUUGUCUCAACCUAGGUGAAUAAAUGUUGCAUUUGAGUCGAAAGCUGUACUUGAACUCGAUGUGACUAGAUAUGAUCGAUCCCGGAUUCCCGGCCGACUGAUUUAGCCUGGCAUCAUGCUUCUCCCGAAACAUGACAUGCGGGCAACCAUCUGGUUCAAUUGCAAAAUGGACGGUCCGAUCAAAAGAGUUUUCAACUAAGAUGCCCUAACCAUAACGCGGGCCCAGUUUGGGGUGGGCAGAUGGACUUCCACCUGGCCCAGUCCUCUACAAAGUGUAGAGGCCCUAAUGGGAUGUCUCUAGUGGACGGGGUCUUACCUAAUUACAAGUGUCCUGUGGACCGCAAUGUUGGUGGUUCGCACUCUCGAAUUAUUUUGCAAACCAAGCCAUUUAUUUAUUCACGGAUUGUAAAGGACGAGCACACCAUCGUCCAUCAUAAGAAUGGCAUCCGAGAGACUUAACUGGGACAACCUGACCCAUCAGCACCCCAAUAUGUACCCUUUAGAGACAGAUCAGGGCAUGGGACCUAUGCAGAACACUGACGUGUCAAUCUCUUCUUGACUGCGUUCACCAAACCCGGGAGCGCAGAAAUUUGCGAAGGAAAUCAUGCCUUAAAUUGGAGGCCAAAAAAUUUUAAACAGACUUUAUUGCAUUUAGACUUGCGGUCCAAGCUUUAAACUCAUGCACCACCUAUCUAGGUCAAUUGGAACAAGAUUACAUCUUCCCCACAUUCAAUAUAAAAUUGGCUCCGUUUACUCCUUGGAGAGAAGGGGUCCAUGCUUGACUUAAGUUCUACUCAACCCUACUAGAUCCUGGUAUUUUUAGUGAAGGACCUAGAUGAUUGAUAGAGUUGUGAAUCACUAGGCUUGGUUCUAAUAUCACCUAUCAUGGAUUUGCUAGCUCAAAAGCUCAAGCUAUCGGAUUGAGGACCGCUUCCAUGUGGGACUACGACAGAGCAAUAUAUCUCAAUAGUAUCUAGUAUGCACAAGGCCCACAAAGAAUUCCCAUCAAUAUAUAGCGAAACAUUUUUGAAAUUACCUUUUUGAUUGAGUAUUGCAAUUUUAUGACCAUUAACAUAUAUUACAAACAUAUGAUGAACUAAUGGUGAACUAUCACCUUUUUCAAAUAAAUAAACAAGUAAAUAAAUAAAUAAAUAAAAUCGUGGGGCUAGGAAUAUAUGGUGAACGCUACUUGUAUACAAUACUAUAGAUUAGUUUUAUUAUUCUGCUUUUUUCUAGCCAAAUAUCAAAAUGUAUAAAUUUAUUGGGACGAAAACUCCAAAUGAAACUCCUUAAUGCAUACGAGGAGAAAAGGGAUGAGAGUACGGACAUGGGAAUAAAGGUGUAUCGUUCCAUUUUCUUUGAUUUUCAAAAAGAGUUUGGAUCCUCUGCAAUGUGCGACUAGCACCGCAGAAUAUAGUACAAUAUGGAUGGCCAUCACAUCAUCUAAUCAAAGAGACGGAUGGCUAUCAAAUAGGGCAGGCAUUGCAUGCCAUACAUGGAAUAUCGCAUGCCAUAUACACACCCUAUUUAUCAGCUCUCCAUUUUCAUGAUUGGACGACAUGGUGGCCAUCCAGCUGUGCCUCACUCUAUAGUGCAAAUCAUGCACCACAGAAGAUUCUUGGUCUUUCUCCAAACCCCUUGCUAGAUUCAGUUCAAACAAAGACGUCAACAAUCCAAGCCUGCAUGUAUGUGUGUAGACAAACUUAUAAGGGUAAAAUUAUAAGUUAAAUAUAUAAUAAAAUGAGGGCAUAUACAUAAAUACUGAUUUUAACUGAUAAAUAUGCAACAGUCCAAGCCUGUAUGUAUGUGUGUAGACAAACACACAUGCAUGUACUUUUACUAUCUAUUUAGAAAGCUCAAGCUUAUAAUUGGGUUUCAUGACUUAGGAACAAGUUCCUUGCAAUUAGGUCCGACAAAUUUAUUCUGUAUUUUGACAUGCGGGCUAUGUACUCAGUAUUUAUUGUUGCAUGGCUGUCCAAACAUUAAGAAGCCCUUCUAUUGUUUAUUCUAGAUUUACUGAUAUGCACGUCGUGAAAUUAAAGAACAAAAUUUAAUAUAUUACAUUGUUACAAUAAUUGUUUAGUACGUUACUAAUUUAUUUAUUUUUGGUACAACAACAGUUCAUACAGCUCGCGUUAGAGUAUGGCCAAUCGAGUCCAAAAAAAGAAAAUGGCAUAAACAAGAAGAGGUACUACAUGACACGUCCAUAGAACCGCUCCGGAGUGUCGAGCAACAAAUGAGCUGACCCAGUCAGUGAUCCGGUUCACUUUCCGAAACACAUGAUCAGCCUGGAAGGAGUCCAAAUCACUCGCCAGUCCGCAAAUGUCACAAAGCAACGGUUGCCCACACCCAUGUCGAUCCUCUCCUCGUAUCCAACCGAUCAUUGCGGCAAAGUUCUCCUCCAGGCACACUCUACUAGCAUCGAGCACAUACCUGACGAAGGUAAUACCCUCCCAAGCUGCCUGAAGCUCUACCUCAAUGGCAGUCAUGCGAUCAAUGCACCGUCCUCCAGCAGCAACCAGUCUGGAGUUCUGGUCCUGGAUCAUGAAGCCCAUGCCACUACUAGCACCAUCGGCGGUCGCACCACCAUCAGCCAGUAACUACCCAAAGGCCUCCCGGACCGCCACCUCACUCCAGUUGCCCUCUCCGGAAAUAAACAGGUCACAUGCCCUGCAUCCCGCCAACCUCGCCGAUUCAACCGGCAUCGGCAUAUGACGGAGCGGAAACUCGGUCACCCAUUUGUCCUCUAGCACAUCAGUGGAUUGCCUGUCGCCGAUGGCCCAUCUGGUCGCAGAAGGCAUCAACGGAGCCUGAGCAGAAAUCUUCCUCCAUAUAAAGGAACACCUGCACCGUGCCUUAACAUCUUCUGUCGCUGACACGCCACCAUACUUGACUCUAAGGAGGGAACACCACAAACUGUCAGGCUUUAGAAUAAAUCUGGCUACAUGUCUCGUCACUAGUAUCUCUUGUAUCGCCACCAAGGAAUGCACUUCUAAUCCGAGUCGCAAUGCCAUCUUUAGCAAGAGACAAAGUGCGUCGCGAAGAGGCUGUCGAGUUGCUCGAAGGAGUGGAUGGAAUAAGGCCGAAGCCCGGAGAACCAGAACCGAGCCAUUUUACAAAGGGUUGCUGGGAAUGCCUUGCAAAGCUUGGCAUUGGUGACUUCGUGCGGCUAGCAUCACGAGAGCCUUAAAGCUCUCGAGGUGGUCCAGAAGAUCUGAGGUGCCAUUGUACGACUCCACCAAGGACAUCAUGAAGUCAAACCGAAGUUGAGGUUGUUGUGUCUUCGGAGCCUAUCCUUGGAAAUCUGCUGGCCCAUCUUUUUGAUUCUUCAAUUGUGGUCGGCGUCCUACCGAGAUGAAGACUCCAUGCGACGAGGAGGCGAAAGGCUUAGAGCGGAGUUCUCACUGGAAUCGAGGCUUGAAGCAUGUUAUUUUCCAUCCCGACCGGGACUGCUCCGCUGGGUGCACCGACUCUGGGGGGACCGCUUCGAGUCCCAGCCUCGGUAAUGGUAGCUGACCAAUGGUAUGCCGUGUGCUAUCUAUUGAGAGUGGUGUCUAGGGUGACCGAAUUCCGGCUAGAUUGGCUCCAGUUGUGUCGGCACCUGUUGCAGGCUCUAGACCGCCGCAGUUAGCACCUACACCAAUUGGAUGAGCGCAGGUUGAACUGCUCAUUGUCCACAGGCGUGGCAAGUUGUUUCAGCGGAGUAGGAUUCGAGCUCUACAGUGACCCUUGGGUGGUUGGAGCACGACGUUGCAAAGUAUGCGAUACAUCACAGGCACCUUGUGACCUCAAGCCGAUCGUCUCUCCCUUUGAUGGAUAUUGGUGUUGCUGCGGUUUGCGAGGCCCUCUUAGCGCCAUUCUUUUGUCGCUGAAUCCGGACUGUGGUGGGAGAGCACCUUGAUCGACUCUAAGGUCGGCUGGAGGUAAGCUGAGGAGGCCGGAUGACACUUUGAGGGUCGGACUCCUCCGGAGAUUGCUUGCAAAAGAGUCCGCUUGCUGAAGAAUUUUUUGUGGGGAACUCUCCGAUGCCUAAGUCAGAAUAAUGAGGCAACAAAAUGGAAGGUGAAGGGUUUUAGCAGAGAGUGACUCUAUGAGUAAUAUUUCAUGCAUAGUAUGAGUAUAUUGCUUGUUAUUGCGUACCUAAGGUCCCUCGAACUGCCCCUUUGUAGGUCAUCGGCUGAUCGACUGCUCGAACGAGGUCGGAGUCGUCUGAGGUCGGCUUUUUCUGAGGUCAAGAAGGUAGGUCUGGCCUGAGGUCGAGGUACCUCAUACUUUCCCCAUCAAUUCAGAAAUGAGAAUAUAAGAUGCAAUAAGGUCUGUUGCUAGUAGACACUUUGCAUCCUAAACUUGAUUGGUCAUAAAAAUGCGUUCGCCCACGGUAGGCCCAAACUUGAUCUUAAGGAUGCGGUGGGUGAGGAUGGCGAUAAAGAAGGUACUGGCCACCCGGUUGAAGGGAUUAGGUAUCAUGGUGAAGAUAGCCAGCAGUGCGGAAGUAUAUCCAAGUUUUUCGACAAAAGCGUCCAACUUAUAUAAUAUGAAAUUUAGCCCGUGCGAAGGUCACUUGCGUUCCUAAUGGGGAACUUGGCACAUGUAUUGAACGUGCACUACCCUUAUGUUCACCAACAAACCCCUACUUCAAUCUCUAGCAUCUUUUCGUUUUUCCCGGUACGUUUCACUAUCUAGGUUUUAAAUAUAGAGUACCCAACCAACCCAUCCCGCUCUCGCCGAGACAAGCACCAAUGGCCUUUCCAACCUCGGUUCCUCUUCUCAUCCUUCUGCUCACCUUUGGCCUCCUCGGUCGGCCGGGCUCGGCCACCGACUUCGUCAUCUACUCCGAUCCCCCCACCGCUCUCCUGCCUGGCCAAAUGUUCCACUAUGACUUGACUCCCCAAGACAUCCCGUAUGGCCGGGCCUCGCUGGUCAUGAAGCCCGACUGCAACCUGGUCCUUUACUUCAAUGGAAGCAAAACCUGGGCCACCAACACCACCGGCCUGGGUGACAACUGCUACCUCACCAUAGACUCUCACGGCGAAGCCAUCGUUCAGCGCAACAUACACUACCCCGUGUGGCGAAGCAACAAAACGUCCGUCGUGGGGAGCUAUGCCUUCCUCUUGCAAUGGAAUGGAGAACUCGGCAUCUAUGGCCCGGCCAUAUGGUCGAGCUCUAACGAAGGAGAACUGAGCGAUCCAAAGCCUUCCAACAUCACCACGGACUACGUCUUCUAUUCCUACAGCGUGUUGCCCAUAGGAAAGAUACUUGAAUACAAGAAUUACAGGCUGGUCUUGCGUGAUGACUGCAACCUGGUGCUGCUCGACACCAACACCAACACCCAGGAUAUCAAAUGGCAGACCAACACUUACAGUCCCUUGCACGACUGCUUCAUCACCCUCGACCCCAACGGGGAGUUGUUCGUCAAGCAUAACCGCAGGGACAUUCUCUGGAGGUCCAAUGAAACAACUAAUUCGAAUUUCUCCGCACUUGUGCUUCGGUACGACGCAAAGCUUGUUAUCUAUGGCCCUCAGCUGUGGACGACCAAACCAUUGUGGUAGAUGUUUGGGCUUGUACUUUGAGAUGCUGGUGGGCUGUGAGACUAUCUUAGAAUGAAUAACUGUCUGUGGCUUAGUUUGCUCCAGACUGCGCACUUGGUUAUGCUUUGAGCUGCUCUUUAUUUUUACUACUAAGCACUUGUCGUUGUGUUUCAACCUUAAUUAGGAUGGCAUGCAUGGUUGUAAACUUGUGCUUUGAUUUUCUCUUAUCUCAUCUGGACUACCGCGAUCUUCCAUACCAUUGUAGCUUUGGAAGUUCAAGCAACUUUUGGUCAUAUGGAAAAAUUCUUUCUUGAAAGUUUUUCAUAAUCUCAUAUGGAAACAAACGCUAAGAUCGGAUAUCAACCUUCUAAGUUCAUCCAAGGAGAAUGAUGGAUUAACAUGCUGCGAAGCUGCAACGAAAAAAUCAACCCGUUAUGCCACUAUACCUAUGUUGGUACUGGUGAAGUAUACUUUAGGUGAAUGGAAUAUGAUGUAUUUCGAACUGCUGAGAUUCAUGAUGGUGCAUGAAUUAUUUCCCAGUGACCAAUGACAAGAUGCGAUGCCAUAUUUUUCUCGCAGAUAUCUCGAACUUCUAAUAUUUUGGGCAUGCGUUCUGCUUGCCAAGUCCCAACAUGUCCGGCUUAUGGUUGAAAGUAUACUAUAGUUCGGGAUUUGUCAGGUUUGGGCCGUUCAGUUUAUGUUGCAAAUUUGCUGAAUGCACAUCCAGUUAAUUAAUUUUGCUUUUCUUAUGUCUUUCCAUCGAGGGAGCAUCAAUAGGACUAAAGUGUAGUUUUCUUCUUGGCUAGGGGAGGAAGGAUGGAUCAGAGAGAGGAUGGAUUGAUCUUUGAUCUAUCCUCCUGUAUGUUUGGGUGAACAUGAAAGGACAAAUGGGAAUGAUUCUCUCCUUUAUUUUGUAUAAAUAAAAUGAAAGAGAGUUUGGAUGAUAUUUGUAUAAUAUUUUUACUAAACUAUCUUUUGAUAAUAAAGAGCGAAAAAAUGUUGAGAUUUUAUUCAAAAAAAAAGGAACAAUUUUGUCAACAUAGAAUCUCUUAUAUGCUCCAUCCAUCCUUCCUUUCAUGACCCAAGAUGGAUGGGCAAUUCUUUCUUUUCAUCUGUCCUCCCUCUCAUGACCCGAACCAAACACAGAGUAAGUGUAUAAUUUAGAAUGACAGAUUCUAGUAAAGCGAAGAUGAUUGUACGAGAAGAGCCAUUAAUUCAGAUAGUACUUCAGAGUUUCGGUUUAGAAAUUCCUACUGUCCAAGUUUUUGAUGUGCUUUCAUUUGUUGAGGCACAUGAUUACGUAGCGGUUCCUACUAACUACGAUGAGUGAUAACAGAAUUUAGUCAUCAAGUAUUUGCUGAUAUGGUAUCACCCUUAUCACUUGGAUAAGGGGGUGAGGAUUUGACUUCAUUUGAAAUCCAUUUUCUGGAAUCGAACGAUGUUUAGACCCUCCUAAUCUUGAAAAAGAAAAGAACAACGGUAUUCGGCAACUCUAUAAUGCGGCCUCAAUUUUAUUUUCGUUUUCUUGAUCUAUGGCACAUGUUAUAUUGGACAAUCAAGUGUACUGAAUAUUUCUAGCGGAAACAUACAUAUCGGAAGUUGUGCAGAUAUGGAGCUGGAUAUAUACAAAAUUGUGCUAUAAUUAUUAAACUCUGCUGCACGCUUAUCGGUGUGGGGGACCCUGCCCUCUUGUCGCGGGCAUCAAUGACAUGGACGCAGACUUGAAAGCUCUUAUUUUAAGCGUCAGGACAAUGAACAUGGCCAUGCGAUGAUGGCUUGCCACCUAGAGAUUCCACCUGGCCUUCUAAUGUGACAGGCUACAUUAUUAAGACUCCAUGCAUUUGCUCAAGCCUGAUCCAUGAGCCUUAUGAAACAUUAUUAUGCCAUCAUUUUUAGCACUUGGUGGAGAAAGUUACGUCUUCAACCGAUUCUGGUGCGAGGCAUGCGUGCGGCCACGUUUCAUGAAACCGGCAAGUUGUUAAACGUUGCUUCCACCAAGUGGUUGAUUGCAAUAAAGACGGAACGUUAAUAUUGCUCAAGAUAUUUAUUAGCUAUAUUUAAAAUGAAAGCGUACUGUCACUUCAUAACGUUUCAAAGUUCGUUGCAGUGUAGUACAUUUAUAUUUUUACAUGCAAAUGUUAAAGAGAGCAGUGAAGACGCGAGAAUCGGUCUGUUGAUUUGUUACUCGGUGUUCUAGGCUUUUACUAAAGGACUAGCUUGGUUCCCAAACCAAGAGUCAUAGACUUUAUUGUCAAGUGGAUUUAUAAUGGGCGUGCGCAUUGGACUCAGCUUGAGCACGUUUCCAGGAAUAUAAUAGCUCACGCAUGGAUCCCAAGAGCAAAUAUUGAGCUCUGAUCUUAUUUGAUAUUGGUUUUCCUGCACAGAAUGCAAUUGGACUAACUAAAAUGCUAAGGAAUUGGUAAAUUAGAUUAGAUUUUAUUGUUGGCUUCCUCUUCCCCAUCCUUCACGUGACAAAAGGAUAAAAGUUUGUACUCAAAUAAUAAUAUUUCUUUGUAUUUUAUAGCCUAGAAGACUGUUCACACCGGUCAUAAAUUAAGACAAAGAGAGAGAAAUGUAGCAUUAACUUUUUUUUUUCAAAAUGAUCCCUAACUUUUUAUCAGAACGUAAAGUUGCCAUUCUAAUUAAGUCACGCUUUCUAUUUAACUUGCAAAACUGCUAAUAGAAGGGAUUAGACAAAUCUAGUUAUAGAUAUAAAUUAAAAAAUAUUAAUUUUUUUUUAAUGUAAUGGAUCCAGACAGUUCACGGUGCUACGUGAGGUAAGCAUCUGGGCCUCGCGUUCUUAAAUUUUCGGCCAGUCACGUGUUCCAAUGGGCACGGAAAAAAUUAAUGGGAUCAUAGAAAUUUGAAUUUUAAGUGGUUACUGUUUCACCACGUGAACUAAGACCCUGUCCUUUAGCAAAAAAAAAAACUAAGACCCUGUCGAGAAACACGUUGAUUGAGACUAAUGACAGUGACAGCGUUCGAGUUAAACCACUAUCGUCAGCAAGAGCCGGGUGGUAUUACUUCACCUACUAUCAAAUAAUAAAAAAACAAAAAUCUGCAUCCUUUUUUAUCUGAUUUCUGUGCUAUCAAAUAAAGUCUGCCUCUCUGUACGCACACAAAUAUAUAUAUAUAUAUAUAUAGAAAGAGAAAGGAAGAAACAUAUAUACAUAUACAUAUAUGCGUAUGUACAUAUAGGCAUACUUACAUAUGUACGUGCAUGCAUAAAUUCAAGUCAGAUUGAUAGAGAAAAUAUACAAAUCAAAUUGAUCACACACUCAAUGAUCUAAUAUUAAGUCAAUUAGUAAGUAGGAGAGUGGGAAGUUCGUAAAAAAAUGAAAUGUAUGAGGGAAAGGGGGUAAAAAUGGUGAGAGUGAAUACGGGUGCAAAUGAGCCGAACGGCUUGUGAGCUCUUUAAGCUGGACUCGGAUCGAGUCCAAGAUUGGCUCAACUCGACUGAUUUGAGCUUGAGUAGCUUGAAUAAUUUUUCGAAUCGAGCUCGAGUAGCAAAAUACUCGGCUCGUAGACUUGUUAGUCUAGUCGAGUAUAUAUAUAUUUAAUAAUAUUAUAUUAUAUUUUGUUUUAAUUAUAUUUUUUUAAUUAUGAUUAAUGCUCGAAUUCGAGUUUAGACUUGAGCUUGAGUAUGGCACAAUUGACAUUCGAGUGAAGCCGAUAUCAAGUAUUGCUUUCUAAAGCUUGAAUAUUAAGCUUCAAUCGAUAUCGAGCCGAAUUUUGAGCUCGAAUAGUUUAAAUCGAGUUCAACUCAAGCUUGUAGCUAUUCAAUUCAACUAAACUGGGUUGCAACCCCAAAAGAAAUAUGAGCGAGCGGUUGGGUUGAAUUCCCACCCUUUCUCGUACUCUACUGGUUGGGAGCGGGAUCAAAUCCCUCUCCCAUCCAAAAAACCAAGGAUGAAUGGAACCCGGCCCCACUUUUUCUAGCCUCCAAAUCCAACAACGGGCUUGGUUGUUCGUGAAGAGUAUAUUUCAAUAAUUUAAAGUUGAAAUCAGUAAACUGAAAAUUUUCUUUGUCAGUUGUCAUCUCUUGUUUCUAUCGAUUCUAGACGUUCUAUUGUUUCAUAUUUGUAGAAGAGCGCACCCUAAGAUAUGGAGCCGGAUAACAUAAACAUUGCCUUGCGAUGGUAACAUGCCACGGGCAUCAAUGACAUGGACACAGGCUUCAAAGCUCUUAUUUUAAGUGACAGGAAUAUAAAUGUUGCCUUGCAAUUGUAGCAUGCCGCCUAGAGAUUCCACACGGGUUGCAUGUGACUUCCGGAUGGAUACGAAGUGUACGAGGCAUGCGUGCCGGCACGUUUAUGUUUCAUAAAUCCGGCAAGUUGUUGAAAGUUUGCGUCCACCGAGUCAUUGUCGGAAACAUGAAUAUUGUUCAAGAUAUUUAUUAGCUAUAUUUAAAAUGAAAACGUAUUGUCACUUCAUAACGUUUCCAAGUUCGUUGCAGUGUAGUACUUUUUAUAUUUUUGCAUGUGCAGAGAGCAGUGAAGACGAGAGAAUCGGCCUGUUGAUUCGAUACUCGGUGUUCUAGGCUUUUAAUAAAGGACUGGCUUGGUUCCCAAACCAAGUGUCAAAAGACUUUAUUGUCCGAGUGGAUUUAUAAUGGGCUUGCACAUUGGACCCAGCUUGAGCACGCUUCGAGGAAUACAAUAGCUCAGCGUGGAUCCCAGGAGCAAAUUAUAUUGAGCUCCGAUCGGAUUAGGUAUUGGUUUUACUGCACAGAAUGCAAUUGGACUAACCAAAAAGCUAAGAAAUUGGUAAAUUAGAUUAGAUUUUAUCGUUAGCUUCCUCUUCUCCAUCCUUCACCUGACAAAAGGAUAAGAGUUUGGACUAAAAUAAUAACAUUUCUUUGACACUGGCUGUAAGAAGGGGACAGAAAUAUCCGAUUUUUUCAUAGAUCUACCAUUAUUAGGAGGCAGAGGAGUAUGAUUCGGUCCAUGCGGGAUGGGGCAGGAUCAUGAGUGGAGGAUGAGAGCCCGAUCAGGCACGUAUUGGUUGACUUUUUUCGGUCGAGAUGGACUGAGAAAGAGGGGUCGGAUGGCGGGGAUGUCUUCCUACGUCCGGAUACUGUAGUGGGGACGUCGGAGAACGUUGCCCUGAUCGAGGAGGUGAUGGAGGCAGAGAUCAGGGAGGCGGUCUGGGCUUUGAGGGAGGACAGAGCACUAGGGCCUAAUGAGUUCUCCUCUUUUUUCUUCAAGAGAUACUGGGGUAUUGUUGGGAGAGUGGUGGUGGAGGUGGUUCAGUUAUUCUUCCAGUCAGCGGUUAUGGCAGAUGACUGAAAGGCGACCUUUGUCACCCUGAUCCUGAAACGGCGUGACACAGCGGAGCCCAGCCAUUACAGAUUUAUCAAUCUUUGCAUCACCCUGUACAAGGUGGUGGCAAAGAUAUUGGUUGGCAGAAUGCAGCCCCUCCUUCCUCGUCUUGUGUGUCCGGAGCAGGGGCGUUUGUCGGUGGCCGGAGUAUCACCGACAACGUCAUGAUAGCCCAGGAGAUGAUGUGGGACUUGCAGCGUGUUUUGAGACAUCAGAGUUACAUGGCCGUAAAGCUUGAUAUGGAAAGAGUCUAUGACAGAGUCUGAUGGUGCUUCUUACAGAGGGCUUUGGUGAGCCUCGGCUUCCAUGAGACUUGGAUUUUCUAGAUCAUGGGGUGUGUGCAGGGGCCAUCCUUCUCCAUCUUGGUCAACGAUACGCCGUCACCAUUCUUCUGAUCGACAAUCGGCCUGCGCCAGAGUUGUUCCCUAUCCCCAUAUUUAUUUGUCAUUUGUGCUGAUGUUCUAUCCAUGCAUGUAGGGUGCGGGCGCUAGUGGCCUUUGUUCCGGCCCUCGGCGCCCAGCCGAUCUCUCACCUUUCUUUUUGUGGAUGACUGCCUCUUAUUGGCUAGAGCUUGGCCUAGGGAUGCCGUGGUUCUUCGGAGUGUCUUGGUGGAGUACUGCUCAGCAUCGGGCCAAAGGGUGAUCGUGCUUAGCCCGAAGACUGAGUUGCGGGUGUGAUAGGAGAUUAGAGGGAUGCUUGGCAUGAGGGAGCAGGAUGGGCCGUGGAGUUAUCUGGGAGUCCCUAUCACUGGGAGGAGGUUGCGGUCUCGGAUUGUCAGGAUAUGGUGCACUGGGUGCAGCAGUGGCUGGAGGGUUGGAGGACGGCAUCACUUUUCAUGAUGGAUAGGGUGACCCUAGUCAGGUCUGUGCUGUGUUCUAUGCCAGUCUAUUUGAUGUCCAAUACCAUCAUACCGAAGACGGUGUUGAGGAGUAUUAAGAGGCUUGCUCAAAGUUUUAUUUGAGGGACGCAGGGCGGCAGCCGUGGGGUGCACCUGGUGGAUUGGGAAUCAGUAUGCCAACCGACUAAGGCAGGGGGACUGGGUAUCCAGUCUGUACUGACUAGAAGGGAGGUGCUGAUUGCUUGGCAUACAGCCAGGGUCAUCUUAGAGCCGCAGUGUUUUUGGAGUCUAACGAUGGUCGCCCGGUAUGGCCCUAUUGGGAGUAGUGUGAUUCCAGAUGGGGGGCAGAGGGCAUCACUGAUUUUGCGUGAGAUAUGCAUGUAUGUGCCCAUGGUCAUAUCUAAAUGCAGGUGGCUGAUAGGUGAUAGCCAGAGAGUGGACGUGGUAGAGGAUGCCUGGGUGAAUGAGCUUCCGUUGAGGCGCUUGCCGAUCCUAGUCAGUGUUGAGGUUGGGGAGGGAUUCCGAGUGUGUGACCUGCUUCUUCUCGGUGGAGGGGGGGUGGGAUACCCACCAGAUCGGAUAGCUGUUCGGUGAGCUGCUUGUAGAGAGGAUUCAGUCGACCCCAGUUUCGGAGCAUCCUUGCCCGGAUGUCAGAGUUUGAGCAUAUCCUGCAGAUCUACAGUUAGGGUGGCUGACAUCUGCGACGUCGUCUAAGGUGGUGAGCAACGAGCGGUGGACUGUGGCAGGAUCUGGCGGUUUGGGUUGCACCUUAGGGUGACCUUAUUCCUUUGGAAGGUUGCUUAGGGUCGACUACCGACGAAGCUUCUACUAUUUGAGUGGGGUAUGAGUAUCCACCCCUAGUGCUCUGAGUGUCUGUCAGAUGAGUCGCUAGAUCAAGCUAUUUUUCAGUGUCACCAGGCUAGGAGGAUCUGGAGGCGAGCAGGGUUCUCCGUGGAGUUCUGGUGUCAUGCAUCAUCAGUUUUACAAGUGUUGGGACGUUUGGCGGGGGCCUCGCAGUUUAGACCGAAGGCAGUCAGGGCGACCUAUACAGCCUACUAGAUAUGGCUUGCGAAGAACGCAUGGACGUUCGGAGAGACGAGCCCCCCUCCGAGGGUGGUGGCGGAGUGGGCGAGGCUGCUAGCAGUAGAGGUCUCUCAGGUGGACCAUUGGGUUAGACCUUUGAUAGCUCAGGAUAUCUGGAGCUCUACCUUUGCUCGUAGAGUCCUCACCUUUCGAGUUUCCUCAAGGUCAACUUCGAUGGUUGCGUCCUGCAGGGAGGCGUGAGGGGAGAUGCAGGCUUUGUGGUUAGAGGCCUGGACUUUAGGGUGAUUGCUGCUGGGGAUUGCUAGUUGUUGAUACCUUGAUACUCGAGGCCGAGUUGAGAGCUGCGUGCGCUGAUCUUUGCAAUGUGCGGCAGACGAGGAUGGUCCUUUUGGAGGGCGACUUCGCGACGUUCAUUGGGUGGAUUCUGCGGAUUUCGGGGGGUCGACGACUACCAUCCGCUGCUGAGAAAUAUCUAUGCCAUGGUUCGUGAUGGGCUGGCCAUUCAGGCGAAGCAUGUAUUCUAGGAGGCCAAUGGGGCUGCCGAUUGGGUGGCUUCCUUUGCUCCCAACCAUUCGGGUGGACAUGUAUGGGUGGACGAGGUGGAGUUGCCUAGUGCUCUCUGAGAUGUAUUGUUUUUUAAUUUUCUUGGCUGUAUUCAUAUACGUUUCGUAUGAUACUUUUGUUUUAUUAAAAAAAAGAUUGUUGACACCGGUCAUAAAUUGAGACAGCGAGAGAAAAAUGUGGCAUUAACUAUUUUUUUUUUAAAAUGAUCCCUAACUUUUUAUCAUAACGUUAAGUUGCCGUUCUAAAUAAGUCACACCUUCUGUUCAACUUGCAAAAUUGCUAAUAGAAGAAAUUAGGCAAACCUUGUUAUAGAUAUAAAUUUAAAAAAUAUUAGAAUUUUUUGAAUGUACCGAAUCCAGACAGUCCACGGUGUUAGGUAAGGUAAGCAAGCAACUGGGCCUCGACGUCAACGGGCGUCCUUAAAUUUCGGCCGGUCACGUGUUCCAAUGGGCACGGCAAAAAUCAAAGGGAUCAUAGAAAUUUGAAUUUUAGGUGGUUACCGUUUCACCCCGUGAACUACGACUCUUUCGAGAAACACGUGGAUUGAGACUGAUGACAGUGACAGCGUUCGAGUUAAACUACCAUCGUCAGCGAAAGCCGGGUGGUAUUACCUCACGAACCAUCAAAUAAAAAAAAAAAUUACCGCAUCCUUUUUUAUUCUGAUUUCUCUGCUAUUAUAUAAAGUCUGCCUCUCUAUACAGAGAAGUUGUAAGCAGAACAAAGGGGCCUCAUUCAAUGGCGACCCAACUGUUCAGCGAAAAAAAAAAAAUGGCGACCCAACUCUCGCUAACCUUGCUCACCUUUUACACCAUGUUCGGGCUCCUUGCCCGGCCCGACGUGGAGGGCAACGUACUCUACUCCAAGUCGGGCGGCAAACUCCCUUCCGGCGAGAGCCUCACCUACAAGCAGUACUCUCUGGUCAUGCAGAAGGACUGCAAUCUCGUGGUAUACGAUGGCAACGAGCCCAUCUGGGCCAGCGGCACCUACGGCAAGGGAAGCAACUGCUUCCUCACCCUGGAGUCCAAUGGUGAGCUAAUCAUCCAUGGUUACUCUCUAUUUAUUCCAGUUAGCUUCCCUAUUUGGACUAGCGGCAGCACCUCGGUCCAGGGGAGCUACGUUCUCGUUCUCGAAUACGAUGGGGGCCUUCGUGUUUACGGCCCGGCGAUAUGGCCCAUCCCCUCCCAAUCUGCUCAACU
rnacentral:lncRNA from 1 species